rnacentral:rRNA from 1 species
AAGACUCUCGGCAACGGAUAUCUUGACUCUUGCAUUGAUGAAGAACGUAGCGAAAUGCGAUACUUGGUGUGAAUUGCAGAAUCCCGUGAACCAUUGAAUAUUUGAAUGCAAGUUGCGCUUGAAGCCUUUGUUGGCUGAGGGCACGUCUGCUUGGGUGUCUUGC